rnacentral:rRNA from 1 species
AAUUUAUUUUAUUAAAAGGGAUUUUCUAUUUUUUGAUUAUUUUGAUUUAAUAAGAAAAGUUUUGUGGGGAUGAGCUGGCAGAAUUGUUUUAAAUUUAAUUUAUUUAUAAUGAGUAGUAGGAUUAAAAUUUUCUUUCUUUUUAGUAUUUUAUAAUUUAUCAUUAUUAAAUUAUUAUUUUUUUUUAAUUAGGUUUUUUAUAAAAAUUUAAUUUUUAAUUUUUUAUUUUUAGUAAUAAUUAUGUAAUUAGUAAAAUUAGUUUUAAAUUUAUUUAAUUGGUUAGGUAAAUUUAAGGAAUUCGGCAAUAAGUUUUUCGCCUGUUUAAUAAAAACAUGGUCUUUUGAAUAUGAUUUAAGAUUUAACCUGCCCGCUGAGGAUUUGAAUGGCCGCGGUAAUUUAACCGUGCGAAGGUAGCAUAAUCAAUAGUUUCUUAAUUGGAAGCUGGUAUGAAUGGUUGGACGAGAAAACUUCUGUCUCAAAUUUAAUUUUUUUGAAUUUUAUUUUUGAGUCAAAAAGCUUAAAUUUAAUUAAAAGACGAGAAGACCCUAUAGAGUUUAAUUUAACUAAUCUUAUUGCUUAAGAUUUUAUAAGGAUUUUUAAAUUUUGUUGGGGUGACAUUAAGAUUGAAUUAACUCUUAAAAAUUAAUUUCAAUAAUUGUUGUUUUUUUGAUCCAAUUUUUUUGAUUAAUAGAUUUAAUUACCUUAGGGAUAACAGCGUUAUUUUUCUUGAGAGCUCUUAUCGAAAGAAAAGAUUGUUACCUCGAUGAUCGAUUAAAAUAAAA